rfam:Arabis alpina cultivar Pajares Aa.chr2_contig_3983, whole genome shotgun sequence.
GCCGUCUUAGCUCAGUGGUAGAGCGCGUGACUUUUAAUCCCGUGGUCAAGGGUUCGAUCCCUUAGACGGCG